rnacentral:rRNA from 1 species
GCUUAUCACCAUUCCAGAUUGAAUAUACCCGAUCUCGUCUGAUCUCUGAAUUCAAGCAAUCUCGGGCUUGGUUAGUACUUGGAUGGGUGACCGCUUGGGAAUACCAAGUGUGAUAAGCA